UACAGAGGGUGCAAGCGUUAAUCGGAAUUACUGGGCGUAAAGCGUGCGUAGACGGUAGCGUAAGUCGGGUGUGAAAGCCCCGGGCUCAACCCUGGGAAUUGCAUUCGAGACUGCUCUGCUAGGGUGCGGAAGAGGGAAGCGGAAUUUCCGGUGUAGCGGUGAAAUGCGUAGAUAUCGGAAGGAACACCAGUGGCGAAAGCGGCUUCCUGGUCCAGCACCGACGUUCAGGCACGAAAGCGUGGGGAGCAAACAGGG
rnacentral:rRNA from 1 species